rnacentral:rRNA from 1 species
UUGACGGGGCCCGCACAAGCGGUGGAGCAUGUGGUUUAAUUCGAUGCAACGCGAAGAACCUUACCUGGGCUUGACAUCCCGAGAAUCCCCUGGAAACAGGGGAGUGCCUUUCGGGGAACUCGGAGACAGGUGCUGCAUGGCUGUCGUCAGCUCGUGUCGUGAGAUGUUGGGUUAAGUCCCGCAACGAGCGCAACCCUUGUCUUUAAUUGCCAGCAUUCAGUUGGGCACUUUAAAGAGACUGCCGGUGUUAAGCCGGAGGAAGGUGGGAUGACGUCAAGUCCUCAUGGCCUUUAUGCCCAGGGCUACACACGUGCUACAAUGGGUGGUACAAAGAGAUGCCAACUCGCGAGAGCGCGCCAAUCUCAGAAAGCCAUCCUCAGUUCGGAUUGGAGUCUGCAACUCGACUACGUGAAGUCGGAAUCGCUAGUAAUCGUGGAUCAGAAUGUCACGGUGAAUACGUUCCCGGGUCUU